CGUACGGGUGAGUAACACGUGAAUCAUCUACCCUCGAGUGGGGAAUAACCAAGAGAAAUCUUGGCUAAUACCGCAUAACACUUACGAGUCAAAGCAGCAAUGCGCUUGAGGAGGAGUUCGCGGCAGAUUAGUUAGUUGGCGGGGUAAUGGCCCACCAAGACGAUGAUCUGUAUCCGGCCUGAGAGGGCGCACGGACACACUGGAACUGAAACACGGUCCAG
rnacentral:rRNA from 1 species